GGAGCAGCAGGCGCGAAAACUUUGCAAUGUGCGAAAGCACGACAAGGUUAAUCCUAGUGGUUUCUGCUAAAGGAACCUUUUGACAGUCCUAAAAACACUAACGAAUAAGGGGUGGGCAAGUUCUGGUGUCAGCCGCCGCGGUAAAACCAGCACCUCAAGUGGUCAGGAUGAUUAUUGGGCCUAAAGCAUCCGUAGCCGGCUCUGUAAGUUUUCGGUUAAAUCUGUACGCUCAACGUACAGGCUGCUGGAAAUACUGCAUAGCUAGGGAGUGGGAGAGGUAGACGGUACUCGGUAGGAAGGGGUAAAAUCCUUUGAUCUAUCGAUGACCACCAGUGGCGAAGGCGGUCUACCAGAACACGUCCGACGGUGAGGGAUGAAAGCUGGGGGAGCAAACCUGAUUAGAUACCCGGGUAGUCCCAGCUGUAAACUAUGCAAACUCAGUGAUGCAUUGGCUUGUGGCCAGUGCAGUGCCGCAGAGAAGUCGUUAAGUUUGCCGCCUGGGAAGUACGUACGCAAGUAGGAAACUUAAAGGAAUUGGCGGGGGAGCACAGAACCACAGGAAUUGGCGGGGGAGCAC
rnacentral:rRNA from 1 species